GCUCCGGUGGCCUAGUGGUUAGAGCGUCUGCCACGGAUGCGGGAGGUCUCCGGUUCUAUCCCCAGCCGAAUCA